rnacentral:rRNA from 1 species
CCUACGGGGGGCUGCAGUGGGGAAUAUUGCACAAUGGGCGCAAGCCUGAUGCAGCCAUGCCGCGUGUGUGAAGAAGGCCUUCGGGUUGUAAAGCACUUUCAGCGGGGAGGAAGGCGGUGAGGUUAAUAACCUCAUCGAUUGACGUUACCCGCAGAAGAAGCACCGGCUAACUCCGUGCCAGCAGCCGCGGUAAUACGGAGGGUGCAAGCGUUAAUCGGAAUUACUGGGCGUAAAGCGCACGCAGGCGGUCUGUCAAGUCGGAUGUGAAAUCCCCGGGCUCAACCUGGGAGCUGCAUUCGAAACUGGCAGGCUAGAGUCUUGUAGAGGGGGGUAGAAUUCCAGGUGUAGCGGUGAAAUGCGUAGAGAUCUGGAGGAAUACCGGUGGCGAAGGCGGCCCCCUGGACAAAGACUGACGCUCAGGUGCGAAAGCGUGGGGAGCAAACAGGAUUAGAUACCCUUGUAGUC